rnacentral:rRNA from 1 species
AGAGCGAACGCUGGCGGCAGGCUUAACACAUGCAAGUCGAACGGAUCCUUCGGGAUUAGUGGCGGACGGGUGAGUAACACGUGGGAACGUGCCUUUUGGUUCGGAACAACUCAGGGAAACUUGAGCUAAUACCGGAUGUGCCCUUCGGGGGAAAGAUUUAUCGCCAUUAGAGCGGCCCGCGUCUGAUUAGCUAGUUGGUGAGGUAAAGGCCCACCAAGGCUACGAUCAGUAGCUGGUCUGAGAGGAUGACCAGCCACAUUGGGACUGAGACACGGCCCAAACUCCUACGGGAGGCAGCAGUGGGGAAUCUUGCGCAAUGGGCGAAAGCCUGACGCAGCCAUGCCGCGUGAAUGAUGAAGGUCUUAGGAUUGUAAAAUUCUUUCACCGGGGACGAUAAUGACGGUACCCGGAGAAGAAGCCCCGGCUAACUUCGUGCCAGCAGCCGC